rnacentral:lncRNA from 1 species
UUAUCUUUCAAAAAGAAUAUUUUUGGUUCGACUAUUUUCAUUCCUUAUAGAACCUCACCGCCGUCACUAUGGAUACAUUCCUGAUAUUAUUGACAUUCUAAGAACAUAUGGACUCAUUCAAUAUCUUACUGAAUAUAUCGAUACUGGUAGUUUCCCAUCAAAAAGUCAAUGGAAAUCGAUUGUUCACAAAACAGUUAACGAACAACAGUCAGUCAACUGGUUAAACCGUAUUGCGUUAGAUGACAAUUUUAUACGUUUUAGAAAUAUUCAUAAAACAGUUUCUAUGACAAACUUCUGGAAAAAAGCACAAUCGUUUGCAGAAAUACGAAAUUCAUAUCUUAUUACAAAACUAUUAGCUGAUAUACCAAAUUCAUCAGGAGAUAAAUGCGUCGAAUGCGAAAAUGACUUUAAUGAUGUCUAUGUACAUGCAUGUUGUUCCUGCACUUGCACUAUAGAACUGCGCGAUUUGUGGUGGGAUAUUAUCAUCGAGAAUUUUUCGCUACAACUUUAUUUUGAACUAAGUGAAUAUGAUGAUGAGGAUAUAUAUCAAAUUUUGCUUGGAAGAAUUCCAUUAAAUUUAAGUGAAGAACAUUCGGAGUUUGAGAGGCUUUGUCACGCCUAUGUGAUUCAGUGCUUAGCAUUAUAUGGACGUUGUGUCAGGUUAAGCAAUACAUGAUAUGUCAUCAAUCGAGAUUAUAUAAAGCCUUAAUGCUGAGAGACUAAAGUGUAUAUAUUUGUCUGUAUAUGUGAAAAACUAUUCUGUACCUAUUUCGUUUAUUUUGUUGUUGUCUGAUAUUUAGUUAAUUGUAUGUAUUCAUUGUAUCUCAAUUAUGAGGA